rnacentral:rRNA from 1 species
UACGGGGGGAGCAAGCGUUGUUCGGAUUUACUGGGCGUAAAGGGCGCGUAGGCGGUCAGCACAAGUCAGUUGUGAAAUCUCCGGGCUUAACCCGGAAAGGUCAACUGAUACUGUGCGACUAGAGUGCGGAAGGGGCAACUGGAAUUCUCGGUGUAGCGGUGAAAUGCGUAGAUAUCAAGAGGAACACCUGCGGCGAAGGCGGGUUGCUGGGCCGACACUGACGCUGAGGCGCGAAAGCUAGGGGAGCGAACGGG